rnacentral:rRNA from 1 species
AUUGCGCUCUUUGGUAUUCCGAAGAGCAUGCUUGUUUGAGUAUCAGUAAACACCUCAACCUCCUCUUGAUUUUUCAAAAGGAGGGUGGACUUGAGCUAUCCCAACAACCUUUACCGGUAGGCGGGCGGCUUGAAAUGCAGGUGCAGCUGGACUUUUAU